rnacentral:rRNA from 1 species
GCUCAGGAUGAACGCUGGCGGCGUGCUUAACACAUGCAAGUCGAACGAAGCAUUUAAGACAGAUUACUUCGGUUUGAAGUCUUUUAUGACUGAGUGGCGGACGGGUGAGUAACGCGUGGGUAACCUGCCUCAUACAGGGGGAUAGCAGCUGGAAACGGCUGGUAAUACCGCAUAAGCGCACGGUAUCACAUGAUACAGUGUGAAAAACUCCGGUGGUAUGAGGUGGACCCGCGUCUGAUUAGCUAGUUGGUGAGGUAACGGCCCACCAAGGCGACGAUCAGUAGCCGACCUGAGAGGGUGACCGGCCACAUUGGGACUGAGACACGGCCCAGACUCCUACGGGAGGCAGCAGUA